UACGAAGGGGGCUAGCGUUGUUCGGAAUUACUGGGCGUAAAGGGCUCGUAGGCGGCCAACUAAGUCGGACGUGAAAUCCCCAGGCUCAACCUGGGAACUGCGUCCGAUACUGGAUGGCUUGAAUCCGGGAGAGGGAUGCAGAAUUCCAGGUGUAGCGGUGAAAUGCGUAGAUAUCUGGAGGAACACCGGUGGCGAAGGCGGCCACCUGGACGGUAACUGACGCUGAGACGCGAAAGCGUGGGGAGCAAACAGG
rnacentral:rRNA from 1 species